AGCCUCUAGGGAACUUGUUAAAAUGCAGAUUCUAAUUUCAGUGCAUCUGAGGCAGAAUGGGAGAUUCUGCAUUCCUAACAAGUUCCCAGGUGAUGUUAG
rnacentral:pre_miRNA from 1 species